CGGAGCCACAAGUAGGGACCAGUAUUAUUGGGCCUAAAGCGUUCGUAGCCUGUCCUGUAAAUCCUAUGUGAAAUCGUUGGACUUAAUCCAACGGCGUGCAAAGGACACUGCAGAACUUGAGACCGGGAGAGGUUAGAGGUAUUUCAGGGGUAGCGGUAAAAUGCAAUAAUCCCUGGAGGACCACCUGUGGCGAAAGCGUCUAACUAGAACGGGUCUGACGGUGAGGAACGAAAGCCAGGGGAGCGAACCGGAUUAGAUACCCGAGUAGUCC
rnacentral:rRNA from 1 species